GCGGCCAUAGCGUUUGUGUCCCACCUUUGUCCCCUUGCCUCUUUCUUGCCUUUCAUGCUCCCGACAACAUCUCUCUCUCUUCCUUUAACCCUAACUUCUAUGCAUCUUCUCCCUCCUGUAUAUAUCUCUCUUUCUCUAAACCCAUCAUCAACCAAACUCACAAACAAGAACAAGAAGAACAAGGAUUCUGCUUUGGAUAUAUUACACAGAGACAUAUAGAGAGAGAGGUGUCUUGAUCUUGAAAAAAAAUGGCUUACGAGAAAGUCAAUGAGCUUAACCUUAAGGACACAGAGCUUCGUCUUGGAUUACCCGGAACGGAGCAAGAUAAGGAAGAACAAGAGGUUUCUUGCGUUAGAAGCAACAAGCGUCAACUACAGAGCGAUAACGAGGAAGAAUCUACACUUCCUACGAAGUAAGUGAAGAUUUGAGUUUCAAUCUAUUGUUUAAAAUUAUCUAUGAAUUAUUGUACUGAUGAUGAUUCUUUGCUAAUUUACAGAACUCAAAUCGUUGGUUGGCCUCCGGUGAGAUCUUACCGUAAAAACAACAACAGUGUGAGCUAUGUGAAAGUGAGUAUGGAUGGAGCUCCAUACCUUAGGAAAAUAGAUCUCAAGACAUACAAAAACUAUCCAGAGCUUCUCAAGGCAUUAGAGAACCUGUUCAAGUUCACGAUCGGUGAAUACAACGAAAGAGAAGGAUACAAAGGAUCUGGAGUUGUACCAACGUACGAGGAUAAAGAUGGAGAUUGGAUGUUGGUUGGUGAUGUUCCAUGGGAUAUGUUCUCUUCCUCUUGUAAGAGACUCAGGAUCAUGAAAGGAUCUGAUGCUCUUGCUUUGGACUCGGCCUUAUGAUGAUGAUGAUGAUGAUGAUGAAAG
rnacentral:lncRNA from 1 species